rnacentral:lncRNA from 1 species
AAAGAAAGCACUGAGAGACAAAGAAAACCGUGAGAGAGAAUGAGAGAAACCAUGGCACCGUAAAACUUCUAGUUUCGAUUUCUUUAAAUCUGUAACUCUAAUAAAAAAAUUUAAUCUGGUAAAAGUGUUCAUAUCUUUCUUCUCUACACGUUGAUGUUAUUUUUGUUCGGUAGAAGUUGAUGGUGACGUAGUUUUCCUUCUCCUUGAAUCCGACCAAUUAGAAUUUUAGGAGGCACAGAUGAUUUCUGGCACUUUCCUUUUCAGCAGCUCGGUCAGAAAGGUUCUCCGGAGCUUUCGUUGAUCUUGAUUUCAUAAGGAGGUAGGGGGUUUUAUUUUAAAAUUAACUGUUUUAAAUUAUGAAUGCCACGGAAGUCUAGUGGAUAUUUGCAAAUAAUUUAUGAUUGCUUGGAAUGACUGAUUGAUUUUCUGAUUUUGAUGAAGUUGUUAAAAUUCUGAUUUUGUGUGAUUAUGAUGAAUUGGUUGAGUUGUGGCUGUGAAAGGUGAUUAAAUUAGUGUUACUUGUUAAACUGUAAUAUUAUGAGUUAAUUAUUGAAGAAAUUGUCGUACUGAUAAUUGUUGAAUGGAGUUGAAUUUGGGUUUGGUUUGGAAGUUAUGAAUCUGAGGGAGCCCGCAUGGGUGGUGAAGUUCAAUUUUUAAGAGAAGAUUCUGCCCAAUUUUAUGUAAAAGUAACCAAAAAAGUGGUUUUAUUUCGAAAAUCUGAUUUAUAAAUUUAUUUUGAAAUAUGACUUUAUAGUAGAAAACAUUUUAUUUACAUAUUUACUUAUAUUGAGAAAUGGGUUUUGUAUUGAAAGUUUGUUUUAUUAGUAAUAAAUUGAGAGUUAGAAAAGAUUUUGACAUUGGAACUAGUUGGAUUUUCAGAUUUAUAAAUGUUGUGGAUAUUGGAAUUAAUUUGAGUUAUUAGAAAUGAUUGAAAAGAGGUUGAAAAUGGUUCAGUUGGGACCCGAAAAGGGUGGCUAAGUCCGAGUUUUAGAGGAAGUGUUGCCAAAAUUUUAUAAAAUCUGAGGUUUUAUUUGAAAAGUUAUUUUAAAAGAUUUGGUUUUAGAAAAUUAAAUUAUUUGAUAUUUAUUUAGUUGAGAAAAGGUGUAUUCUAUUUUUUUUUAAACUCGAUUUAUUAAGAAAAACAUAAUGUUUCAAAUCCAAUUUUGUAAGGAGAGAUUUUGUUUUAAGUGUUAUUUUGAGCUUGAUGUUUUAAGAAAAGAAAUCUCUGCCACAGGAGAGUAGAGAACAAGGAUUUAAAGAAUAUAUUAACUUAAAGAGAUUGUCUGCCACAGGAGAGUAGAUGUGAUAUUAUUUGGACCUUAGUGCCAAAUGUAAAGUGGGGACGCCCACACACUGAGAACUGUUUUCCAGAUGUACGCUUAUUGAUUUGGAGAGUCACACUGUAUGCGGCCUAUCCGUACAACUUAUAAGCACACUGUAUGCAUCUGGAAAGCCAUAUCUGGGACUUGUGCCCGGGUAAUGUCGGGAGCGGGUAGGCAACCGACACAUGAGCUCAUGUCCUGCUUAGGAGAGACAUGCAUCAUAUUGACUGCGCAUUUGCAUUCAGUCUUGUUUUUCUUGUUAUAUUUUCUCUGUGAUUGUGCUGCUUGACUUGUUUGUCUUACUGCAAUUUGUUUGUGGGUUGAUCUGUUUCUUGUGUUAUUGUUUCUCUGUGAUUGGAAACUGAAGUUGUGAUUGAGAUUAGCUUAUGUUCGGAAAUUUAAAGAAGGUAAUAAGGUAAAAAUAAAAAGUAUUUUCAACGGUUUAACAAAAUGGUUUUAUUGAGUAAAGUUAGUUAUUUGUAUUUUAUUUCAUUACUUUUACGGCAUUCUUAUUCCCUACUGAGAACUAGUGGUUUGUUCUCACCCCAAAAUCUUUCACCCUUUCAGUGGCACAGGUUCGGAGACUUAGUUUGAAGCCGCGGGUGAUUAAGAGUUUUAUUUAAGUUAAAUUUAUGUGUUGAGUUGCUUUCAUAGAAUUCUCUCGCCCUUGUUAUUUAAGAUUUUAUUUUAUGCAGAGGGAUAGGAGUUAUAACUGAAUUUUAUUUGAAUUCUUCUGCAUGAUAUUUAUUAUUAUUAAUAACUAUGUGACUAGUAUUUCUUGGAAAUCUUUGAUACAUGAUUUUAAUUAAUAGAAACAAAAGUUUUUGGCUUUUUCCUAAAAACUGAAACGCGAUAUCGACGUAAAGGCUCAAUAGUAAAUUUAUAAAUUCCUAUUCCCUACUGAGAACUAGUGGUUUGUUCUCACCCCAAAAUCUUCCACCCUUUUAGUGACACAGGUUCGGAGACUCAGUUUGAGAAGCCGCGGACGAUUAAGAGUUUUAUUUAAGUUAAAUUUAUGUGUUGAGUUGCUUUCAUAGAAUUCUCUCGCCCUUGUUAUUUAAGAUUUUAUUUUAUGCAGAGGGAUAGGAGUUAUAACUGAAUUUUAUUUGAAUUCUUCUGCAUGAUAUUUAUUAUUAUUAAUAACUAUGUGACUAGUAUUU